ensembl:lncRNA
CAAGAUCCGAACCCGCGCGGGGUGGGGGCGGCGGAAAGCCCAGAGGUUCCAUCCCUAAGCUAUGGGGUGUCUUCUCUCCUUUGGAAGGACUUUAGAGAUGGCAGUUGUGACUUGCCUGGUGUGUCUGCCUCACCUGGUUUGAAGGAUGCGCGACACCCUUCACCUGGCCAAAUCCUUCAAGCCCCGUUUCCAUGAAGCUUUCUCUGAAUGCUUUUGCCUUUGAACUCUUGACCCCAUAGUGGCUCAGUGGUAAAGAAUUCGCCUGCCAAUGCCAGUGACAUGGGUUCGAUCCUGGUCUGGGAAGAUCCCACAUGCCAUGGAGUAGCUAAGCCCAUGCACCACAACUACUGAGCCUGUGCUCUAGUAGAGCCUGGGAGCUGCCACUACUGAGCCCACGUGCUGCAACUACUGAAGCCUAGAGCCUGUGCUCCACAACAAGAGAAGCCACUACAACGAGAAGCCCGCACACCACAGGUUGAGAGUGACCCCCGCUUGCUGCAACGAAAGAAACGCCCUUGCAGCAAUGAAGACCCAGCACAGCCAAAAAUAAAUAAAUAAAUAAAAUGUUUAAAUUGGC